UACAGAGGUCUCAAGCGUUGUUCGGAUUCAUUGGGCGUAAAGGGUGCGUAGGUGGCGCCGUAAGUCGGGUGUGAAAUUUCGGAGCUUAACUCCGAAACUGCAUUCGAUACUGCGGUGCUUGAGGACUGGAGAGGAGACUGGAAUUUAUGGUGUAGCAGUGAAAUGCGUAGAGAUCAUAAGGAAGACCAGUGGCGAAGGCGGGUCUCUGGACAGUUACUGACACUGAGGAACGAAGGCCAGGGGAGCAAACGGG
rnacentral:rRNA from 1 species